rnacentral:rRNA from 1 species
UACGUAGGGUGCAACCGUUGUUCGGAUUUAUUGGGUUUAAAGGGUGCGUAGGUGGCUUUUUAAGUCAUGGGUGAAAGCCCGCAGCUCAACUGUGGAAUUGCCUGUGAUACUGAGGAGCUUGAGUGCGGUUGAGGCAGCUGGAAUUGGUGGUGUAGCGGUGAAAUGCAUAGAUACCCCCAGGAACACCGAUUGCGAAGGCAGGUUGCUAAGCCGUAACUGACACUGAGGCACGAAAGCGUGGGGAGCAAACAGG